rnacentral:rRNA from 1 species
UCCGCAAUGGGCGAAAGCCUGACGGAGCAAUACCGCGUGAGGGAGGAAGGCUCUUGGGUUGUAAACCUCUUUUCUCAGGGAAGAAAAAAAUGACGGUACCUGAGGAAUAAGCAUCGGCUAACUCCGUGCCAGCAGCCGCGGUAAUACGGAGGAUGCAAGCGUUAUCCGGAAUGAUUGGGCGUAAAGGGUCCGCAGGUGGCUAUGUAAGUCUGCUGUUAAAGAAUGAGGCUUAACCUCAUCAGAGCGGUGGAAACUACACAGCUAGAGUGCGUUCGGGGUAGAGGGAAUUCCUGGUGUAGCGGUGAAAUGCGUAGAUAUCAGGAAGAACACCAGUGGCGAAAGCGCUCUACUAGGCCGCAACUGACACUGAGGGACGAAAGCUAGGGGAGCGAAAGGGAUUAGAUACC